rnacentral:rRNA from 1 species
GACGAACGCUGGCAGCGUGCCUAAUACAUGCAAGUAGAACGCUGAAGAGAGGAGCUUGCUCUUCUUGGAUGAGUUGCGAACGGGUGAGUAACGCGUAGGUAACCUGCCUUGUAGCGGGGGAUAACUAUUGGAAACGAUAGCUAAUACCGCAUAACAAUGGAUGACACAUGUCAUUUAUUUGAAAGGGGCAAUUGCUCCACUACAAGAUGGACCUGCGUUGUAUUAGCUAGUAGGUGAGGUAACGGCUCACCUAGGCGACGAUACAUAGCCGACCUGAGAGGGUGAUCGGCCACACUGGGACUGAGACACGGCCCAGACUCCUACGGGAGGCAGCAGUAGGGAAUCUUCGGCAAUGGGGGCAACCCUGACCGAGCAACGCCGCGUGAGUGAAGAAGGUUUUCGGAUCGUAAAGCUCUGUUGUAAGUCAAGAACGAGUGUGAGAGUGGAAAGUUCACACUGUGACGGUAGCUUACCAGAAAGGGACGGCUAACUACGUGCCAGCAGCCGCGGUAAUACGUAGGUCCCGAGCGUUGUCCGGAUUUAUUGGGCGUAAAGCGAGCGCAGGCGGUUUGAUAAGUCUGAAGUUAAAGGCUGUGGCUCAACCAUAGUUCGCUUUGGAAACUGUCAAACUUGAGUGCAGAAGGGGAGAGUGGAAUUCCAUGUGUAGCGGUGAAAUGCGUAGAUAUAUGGAGGAACACCGGUGGCGAAAGCGGCUCUCUGGUCUGUAACUGACGCUGAGGCUCGAAAGCGUGGGGAGCGAACAGG